CUAGAUUCCAAGAUUAUCAGCUCUAUGUCACACCCGGUUUUAGAAGGUAAACCGAAUGCGAACCAUGUACGUGUCAGGAUCAGAACUCACGUAUAUAGCGAUUACAUAAAUGACUCAUCAUAGCACAAUGCUUCGAAUAUUAAUAAAGACUAAGUAAUAAUACUACAGACUAUAGUCAUUUACAUGAUAUAAAUCAAAGUGCACAUAAUAGAAACGUAACCAACGUAAAUAAACCCGCCACAUACAGCUGACUGGGGGAGGUCGUCAAACUCAUUGAAGUCCUGGAACUCCUAGAAGUCCGCCUUAUCACCUUCUUCUUCUUCUUUACCUGAGCAUACAUUGCACCAAAGGCAACAUGGUGUUUUGUGAAAGCAAGGGUGAGUACACAUCAACGUACUCUGCAAAUGUCCCGUUUGGCUGAGGUGGACUAGCUUUAUGUGUGUUUAGGAUUAAAGCAGAUGCUUUUAGUUUGUUAGGUAUUUAUUAUUAGUACAAGCCAAGUUUUAGCAAUAACCAACCCGUGAAUCAUUUCCUCACCAAGGAACAUCAUUAUCAUCAUCGAACAAAAAACCAUUAAUAGAACCAUUGUAUCUCAGAUCAUCUGCAUCUCUAAUCAAAGGAGCUCCCAAGGCCACUCAUAACCGUCAGCACUACUGAUAUAUCAGUUUCGAUCCUUUGCAGAGGUCGCGCACUUUACCCAUGAGCCGUGAUUCCCAUUCUGUCCAAGGAGCACUUAUCCUCAUUGACCACUACCUAGGUGAUAUGGUAGGGUAUCACUACGUAGCCUUUACAAAGAUUCCCCGUGUGUGUAGUCGUCCGUUAGUUUUUGCCAGUCGUACAUACACAGUACUCCUCCCUAAGGUGGGUAACUAACAAAACUGAAACGAAUGAACCUCGGCACCAACCCUUAGCAAAGCAAGCACUAUACCCCGGCCCCCAUUGAUAGCACAACGGUGAAGCCAACUACACCCCUAAGUUCCUCCAAUUAAUCAGCUAAGGGCGUCCCAUUCUACCCUCAUGGUUGUACUGUUUUCCCAGAUGGUCAUCCAGCGAACAAGUCCUUACAGAGAGGUACUUGGGAAACAGCCUGAGUCCCCUAAAAUCACACAAGUUCAUCAUCAUAAUCAAGAUAUCAUCAUGUAUCAUAGAUAUUCUUAUCAUGUUCAUUGAUUAAAGUAGAGCGCUAGCAUAAAGCUAACCACAAUAACCCAAAAAUUAAUCAAGGAUGAGGUAAAUAGAAAGCUAGUCAAUCCUUAUGUUUUAAUUGUAUAAUGCGGGGAAAUGAAUGUGAAUAGGAUAUAAGUAGGUCAGAGGACACUUGCCUUCACCAAACAGAAGCUUAGGGUCUUCAACAUUAUGGAACUCGAGGAGCUUGUUCGCUUGGUCGUGAAACUUGACUGUCGAUUCCUUAAAGCUUAGGAAUAGAUCGCAAUCUAUUCGCGACGCGCAACGAAUACAAACUGGCACAAGAAACACAUAUACUUGCAUAAGAACAUUACACCAUACCAGAUAAAAUAUUAUAAAAACGAGCAAUAUAAAAUAGAGAGCGCUUCUACGGUUACACAAGGAAAAGGAACGAACCAGUCGAAGCUAUGGUCGAGAAGUUAUCACGUUUACACUAAACCAGUAUUAAUCAGAAUAUUUAAUUUGACAUAAUUAUAUUAAUUGAACUUUAUCAAAUGUACAUUAAAACUACUACUUAGCUUUGGCUAAAUUACUGUUUUUUUAUAGUGGACGAUUAAAUAAAUAGUUAAUUUACUGACAUGAGUGGUUAUGAGCGAACGAUUUAAUAUUACGCACAGACAACGCGCGAUACACAAAAACAGCGUGCGCGACAGACACACGUGAACGACGUGAACAACACGGCAUCACGUGCACCAGACGCGCGACAAGAACGUGCGAACAAACAACAACGACGCGCAAAUAGCGCGCGAGAUAGCGUGAAACAGUGUGCGAGACAUGCGUGAUCGAUGUGUGCUGCAGUACGUGAAUAAUGUGCGAACCAGAUGCGCGACAAAGCGCGCGACACACAAAAACGAUGCGCGCGACGUGCGGAAUUGGCAUGCGCGACACCCACAAAUGACGUGACCUACGGGAAAUCAAUUUUCGUGUUUAUGCUAAACAAGUAGUAAUUCGAAAUGUCCGAAUCAGCAUAAUCAUGAAACAAUUAUUUACAGAUAUGAAAUAAAACUAUAGGUUAGUUUUAAGUGGAACAUUAUUCUAAUACCCAACUGAUGAACAAAUGAUUAAUUAAAUAAAUCAAAAUUCACGAAUUAUUAUGACGUGGCGUAAUUCUAUUGGUUUCGGAUUGACCACAUAGAGGGUCGCAUGGAUCUUGGUCGCAGAAGAUCCCACGUAGGAUCUCGCGUGGAUGGGGAUUCUCUCUUUCGUCUUCCCUGGAAACACAACCGCACUCCGCACGCAUCAAAAUCCACACAGGGGGAGGCUUCGCCUGGCCAUCGGGAUGAGGCUGGCCGCCGCGCCACCGGGCCACGUGCGCCUGCAGGGGCCCGAGGGGGGAGGGGGCGUGCAACCGCGAGGGGGCGUGCAACCGCGAGGGGCCGUGCAGUCUGUCGCGCCGGGCGAGCCAGGCUUGGCCGCACGCGCAGGGAAGGACGGGCUGGGCGCUGGCUGAUCCGAUGGUUGGCCUCACAGGCCUGCAAUGGUGCACAAGGCCGCCAUGGCACGAGCUCGUCGGGGAUCAGGUGCCGAGUGGCCGCCGCGCGCAAGGGAGAAGAGGUGGGGGCCACGACCAGGGGCCCUGCGGCGUAGCACGCCAAGGGGAGAGGACGCCGAGGGAAAGGAGGUAUAAGGAGAGACUCACCUGCGUAUGCGAUGACCAAUAACCGCCUCUCCGUGAUUUGGAUCUGGGGACGAAGUGCAUAUGUGAGCAGAUGGGAGAGAUCUGUAAAUCCCAAAUUUGGAUGGAAUAAUUUUUUUAUACAAAAAGCUUUGGAAAUUAUGGAACCCUACGUGAUUAAUUGUUCUCUUCUCUUUUGCAUAUGUAAAUAAAG
rnacentral:lncRNA from 1 species